rnacentral:rRNA from 1 species
AUAUUGGACAAUGGAGGCAACUCUGAUCCAGCCAUGCCGCGUGCAGGAAGAAGGUCCUAUGGAUUGUAAACUGCUUUUGUACAAGAGAAAACCCUCCUACGUGUAGGGGGCUGAUAGUAUUGUAAGAAUAAGCAUCGGCUAACUUCGUGCCAGCAGCCGCGGUAAGACGAAGGAUGCAAGCGUUAUCCGGAUUCAUUGGGUUUAAAGGGUGCGUAGGCGGAUUUGCAAGUCAGUGGUGAAAUCUCCGGGCUUAACUCGGAAACUGCCAUUGAUACUGCAGAUCUUGAGUACAGAUGAUGUUGGCGGAAUAUGACAUGUAGCGGUGAAAUGCAUAGAUAUGUCAUAGAACACCGAUUGCGAAGGCAGCUGACAAAACUGUAACUGACGCUGAGGCACGAAAGUGCGGGGAUCAA